CUGCAUCUGGCCAUUAUGAAGCCUGUCCAAACAACUGCACUUGUGAUGAAGACACUUUCAGAGGUAAUAAAUAAUUACGUCUGAAAUAAGGGUGAUAUAAUAUUUAUGUGCACAGCAAAAAUGGGUAUCAGAACUUAAAGUGAACCAGAUGGCUUAAGAAAGGACUCUGAACUGGAGGAUUUAAAAAUGCCCUUUGACUGUCAAGAUAAAGCUGGUAACUUUCCAUGGAGCCUUUUAGAAUGAUCCCAGUUUCCAGAAGAAACCCAUGCAGCUCUGGGACUUCAGGACAUAUGGGAUCUGCAUCUUUGUUGCUGACUCCCACUUCUGUUUUAAAAGGCAGCAAGAUAAACAGCCACUAUGGAAGGACUCUCCUCUGCUGUAUGAUCAGGCAAGCCAUGUCUUCUUAG
rnacentral:lncRNA from 1 species